rnacentral:rRNA from 1 species
CAAUAGCGUAUAUUAAAGUUGUUGCAGUUAAAAAGCUCGUAGUUGGAUCUGUGGUGUGCGGUGGGCUCCGGGCACUUGUUGUCUGAGUAGCUCGCCGCUGCCAUCCUUGGGUGGAACCUGUGUGGCAUUAGGUUGUCGUGCAGGGGAUGCCCAUCGUUUACUGUGAAAAAAUUAGAGUGUUCAAAGCAGGCUUAUGCCGUUGAAUAUAUUAGCAUGGAAUAAUGAGAUAGGACUUUUUCGCUAUUUUGUUGGUUCGCGCGAAGAGGUAAUGAUUAAUAGGGACAGUUGGGGGUAUUCGUAUUCCAUUGUCAGAGGUGAAAUUCUUGGAUUUUUGGAAGACGAGCUACUGCGAAAGCAUUUACCAAGGAUGUUUUCAUUAA